UACAGAGGUCCCAAGCGUUGUUCGGAUUCACUGGGCGUAAAGGGCGCGUAGGCGGUCGGGUAAGUCUGAUGUGAAAUCUCGCAGCUUAACUGUGAAACUGCAUUGGAUACUAUCCGGCUAGAGGAAUGGAGGGGAGACUGGAAUACUUGGUGUAGCGGUGAAAUGCGUAGAUAUCAAGUGGAACACCAGUGGCGAAGGCGAGUCUCUGGACAGUUCCUGACGCUGAGGCACGAAAGCCAGGGGAGCAAACGGG
rnacentral:rRNA from 1 species